rnacentral:sRNA from 1 species
GCAGGUAGCUUACCUUCGGGAGGGCGCUUGCCACGGUGUGGCCGAUGACUGGGGUGAAGUCGUAACAAGGUAGCCGUAUCGGAAGGUGCGGCUGGAUCACCUCCUUUUGAGCAUGACGUUAUUCGUCCUGUCGGGCGUCCUCACAAAUUACCUGCAUUCAGAGAUUCAUACCGGCACAGGUCGGUAUGCGAAGUCCCUUUUGGGGCCUUAGCUCAGCUGGGAGAGCACCUGCUUUGCAAGCAGGGGGUCGUCGGUUCGAUCCCGACAGGCUCCACCAUAUUGAGUGAAAAGACUUCGGGUCUGUAGCUCAGGUGGUUAGAGCGCACCCCUGAUAAGGGUGAGGUCGGUAGUUCGAGUCUACCCAGACCCACCACUCUGAAUGUAGUGCACACUUAAGAAUUUAUAUGGAUCAGCGUUGAGGCUGAGACAUGUUCUUUUAUAACUUGUGACGUAGCGAGCGUUUGAGAUAUCUAUCUAAACGUGUCGUUGAGGCUAAGGCGGGGACUUCGAGUCCCUAAAUAAUUGAGUCGUAUGUUCGCGUUGGUGGCUUUGUACCCCACACAACACGGCAUGUAGCUCCGAGGCAACUUGGGGUUAUAUGGUCAAGCGAAUAAGCGCACACGGUGGAUGCCUAGGCGGUCAGAGGCGAUGAAGGACGUGGUAGCCUGCGAAAAGUGUCGGGGAGCUGGCAACAAGCUUUGAUCCGGCAAUAUCCGAAUGGGGAAACCCACUGCUUCGGCAGUAUCUUGCAGUGAAUUCAUAGCUGCUUGAAGCGAACCCGGUGAACUGAAAUAUCUAAGUAACCGGAGGAAAAGAAAUCAACCCGAGAUUCCCUGAGUAGUGACGAGCGAACGGGGAACAGCCCCUUAAGCUGGGAUGCUUUAGAAAAACAAUCUGGAAAA